GGAGACCUCCUUUCUAGUCAUGCUUGAGAGUGAUCCUCUCAAAGAUCCAGAAAUGGCUAAGGCACUCCAGUCUGGUUUGCUUGUAGCCAGGGUGGCCU
rnacentral:miRNA from 1 species